UCCAGCGAACUUGGCAGAGAUGCCUUGGUGCCUUCGGGAACGCUGAGACAGGUGCUGCAUGGCUGUCGUCAGCUCGUGUUGUGAAAUGUUGGGUUAAGUCCCGCAACGAGCGCAACCCUUAUCCUUGUUGCCAGCGAUUCGGUCGGGAACUCAAAGGAGACUGCCGGUGAUAAACCGGAGGAAGGUGGGGAUGACGUCAAGUCAUCAUGGCCCUUACGAGUAGGGCUACACACGUGCUACAAUGGCGCAUACAAAGAGAAGCGACCUCGCGAGAGCAAGCGGAACCUCAUAAAGUGCGUCGUAGUCCGGAUCGGAGUCUGCAACUCGACUCCGUGAAGUCGGAAUCGCUAGUAAUCGUGGAUCAGAAUGCCACGGUGAAUACGUUCCCGGGCCUUGUACACACCGCCCGUCACACCAUGGGAGUGGGUUGCAAAAGAAGUAGGUAGCUUAACCUUCGGGAGGGCGCUUACCACUUUGUGAUUCAUGACUGGGGUGAAGUCGUAACAAGGUAAGCGUAGCGAG
rnacentral:rRNA from 1 species